rnacentral:rRNA from 1 species
GAUGAACGCUGACAGAAUGCUUAACACAUGCAAGUCAUUGGCGAAGCUGCGCUUGCGCAGUCUAGCCAAGGCGGACGGGUGAGUAACGCGUAAGGAACUUGCCCUGCAGACAGGGAUAACAGACGGAAACGACUGAUAACACCUGGUAUUGUCAGGCUGGCGCAUGCCGGCCUGAUGAAAGGAGACGCUGCAGGAGAGCCUUGCGUCCUAUUAGCUAGUUGGUGGGGUAACGGCCCACCAAGGCGAUGAUAGGUAGCCGGCCUGAGAGGGUGAACGGCCACAAGGGGACUGAGAUACGGCCCUUACUCCUACGGGAGGCAGCAGUGGGGAAUAUUGGACAAUGGGGGCAACCCUGAUCCAGCAAUUCUGUGUGCAUGAAGAAGGUUUUCGGAUUGUAAAGUGCUUUCAGCAGGGAAGAAGAAAGUGACGGUA